GGGAACCCUUAGAUGGUUGUGCGGCUGCAAAGAUGCUUGAUAAACAAUCAAGAUAUCAAGAACAGGGUUUCCUUGAUGAGAAGCACCAAAGAGAUGAAACAGAAGAGUCUAAGUAUGGAUUUUCUGAGGUUUUCUGCAAUGAAGACAGAUUAGAUUCAUCAGCUAGAAAUAGGAAAUUUGGAGACAUACCUAAUGGUGAUACGAUUGAAAGCAGAGUACAUGAUAAGAUCUCAGACAUGGAGUUGAUGGAUUCUGAUAGGAAUUAUGGUACUAAGAAUGGUUUCCUUCCCGACAAGUGGCCACUAUCUGAUGAUCCCGACCGAGCAAAUCUUCUUGAAAGAAUUUCUGCUGUAUUCCAGACGCUUAUUGAAAGUAAAUAUCUUGCUUCAAGUCACCUCAGCAAGGUUAUUGAUUUUGCGGUGGAACAGCUUCAGGGUCUUGCUUUUGGCUCUCAGCUUCUUAGCUACAAUGUUGAUCAAACUCCCUUAUGCAUAUGCUUUCUAGGUGCCCAGGAACUAAAAACUGUGCUAAAGUUUCUGCAAGAUCUUUCAUAUUCUUGUGGCUUAGGUAGGUUUUCCGAGAAAACUAAUUCUCGAGAUGGAGCAAGCAAUGCUAGUCAAGGAUUUGACGAUCUGGAGAAAUUAAUUGUCAGUGAAGAUGGUUCAUGUUUAUUGUUUGAUGAGCGUUUCC
rnacentral:misc_RNA from 1 species